GUGGGUAUAGCUCAGUGGUAGAGCACCUGUUUAGCAUGCAUGAGGUCCUAGGUUCAAUCCCCAGCACCUCCA
rnacentral:tRNA from 1 species